ensembl:lncRNA
CAUCACCUUCAACAUGAACUUCAACUAAAACUCCAAACGUACACCUCCAUCCCGCUACAAUUCAAAUAAAACAAGAUGAAGCACAAAGACGCUGAUUUCAUAUCACACCUUUUACAUCAUUAUAUAAAUACAUCACUUAUCACACAAGAUCUGAUACAUUUGAGGUCAUUGGCACAAAUGAUAUAAAAUAUUUGACUAACGAUGUGAUGUUAUGUGUUGUCUGAUGGUGUGUGUGGGUGUGUAUGUAUGUGUAUGUGUAUGUGUAUGUGGUUGUGUGUAUGUUUUUGUGUGGGUGUAUGUGUGUGUAUAUGUUUGUGUGUAUGUUUGUGUGUGUGUGUUUGUGUGUGUGUAUGUGUGUGUGUAUAUGUUUGUGUGUGUGUAUGUGUGUGUGUAUGUUUGUGUGUGUGUGUGUGUACGUGUGUGUAUAUGUGUAUGUAUGUGUGUGUGUGUGUGUGUGUGUGUGUGUGUGUGUGUGUGUGUGUGUGUGUGUGUGUGUUUGUGUGUGUGUGCGUAUAUACCUGUAGUGUUGGACGUUGGAUGUGUUGCCAGGAAAUAUACAGCCUCGCCCUCUCUCUCCUGAUCACCUGAUGAAGCAGAGCAGGUUUCAUUAGACUCGUUUCUUUAGGUAACAGAUGUAUACCAUGCUUCCUGCAACUGAAUAUUUAUUAAAUAAAGCGUAAACUCCUCCGUCCUGAAGAUGUCAGAAAACCUACAGCUUCACCUCUGACUGUUACACAGCGCUGACACUGGAGACUCCUUCCAUACACCUUACAUAAACAUCUCCUCACAGAAAACUUCACCAAACCAACGAUUGCUCAUGUUUAUUAGCGUAUCAUUAAUAUGCAUACAUUUCUAGCAGAAAAAUGACAUUAAACUAGUUGAAUUUUUUUUUUAUUAAUUUGAGCUUAAAAAUGAAUAUAGGCAUCAUACUAAAUGUUCCAGAAGCCAUGUGACCAAAACACAGAUUCGGUUCAUUACUCGUGUAAUUAGAGUAACAGGAUGACCAUGAACAUGUCCUUUAUAUAAAGGAGAGUUAGGGGCAGUGGUGGCUUAGCGGUUAAGGUUUCUGAUCAGAAGGUCGUGGGUUCAAGCCCCAGUACUGCCAAGCUGCCACUGUUGGGCCCUUGAGCAAGACCCUUAACCCUCUCUGCUCCAGGGGGCACUGUAUCAUGGCUGACCCUGCGCUCUGACCCCAACUUCCUGCCAUGCUGGGUAUGCGAAGUAAAGAAUUUCACAGUGCUGUAGUGUAUACGUGAUCAAUAAACACUCAUUAUCAUUAUCAUUAAUUGUACAAAAUGCCUUGUUUGUCUCUUAGACAUACAGAAUGAUACACGAUGAUACACGCAACCAGCUGCACAAACGGACUCUGCGCUCGGGUCUCCGUCAGUGGACAGUUCAUGAUUUCCGUGGAAGAGUCUUCAUGUUGAGACUGUGGUGAAUUUACAGAAGGGAUUUAUUUAUAAUCACACUAUCCAGAUGAUGACGGGUUCCUUUCUGAGUCCGGUUCCUCUCAAGGUUUCUUCCUCAUAUCGUCUCAGGGAGUUUUUCCUCACCACCGUCACCUCUCGCUGCUCAUUAGGGAUAAAUUCAUACAUUUAAAAUCUAUUUCCUGAGUUUAUAUAUUUCUGUAAGGAGGUUUGGGGCAAUGUCCACUGUAAAAAACGCUAUGUAAAUAAAACUGAACUGAAUUGAAUUGAACUGCAUGUAUCACAAUCUAUAAUGCUGCUAACAAACUGGCGGGAAACAGUAGUUUAUAAAAUUAGUUUGAAUAUACUUUCACUUAAUGGCUGAAACGCAAGAAAAUGUUUGAAACUCUACACAGCAGAAAACUGUUCAGCUGAAAAGAACAGCUGUCUGAGUUUGUAAUUCUUAUUAAAGGAUUAAAAGCCUUAUUAAAAAGAUGAUAACGUGAUGAUAUGAUGACAGAAACACUGAGAUAUGAACCUGUAGUGUUGGACGCUGGACUUUGUGCCAGGAAAUACACAGCAUCGCACUCUCUCUGCUGAUCAGCUGGAAAACGGCAAUUAAAAAAAAACAUCAUGUAAUUGCUGAUGAUACACUUCUACAAGCUGAAUAAUGAAAUAAAACGCUGCGUUAGUAGUGAACUCACCACACCGUGGGGCUUCCGGAGGCUCGUUAGUAACGUCAUAGAUGUGUGUAACACUACAUCCUGUUACAAAUACACAACAGAAAUAAUGCUGUUUUAAUACUCUUCGCAUUUUUACUCAUUCGUAUAUAUACGGAAUGUACCGUAUGUAAUCAGGUGAUGAAUGAGCUGACUGGGAUUAGGGCUAUGAAGCACAUGGAGCACUGGGAACCCCAGCUCUGAAUUGUACAUCCUGUACGCCAGCUGAGAGAAUAAUAAUCUAGUGUUUAUACCACAGUGAUUAUACAGAGUUCACGAGAACCAUACGAGUUUGUUUCCUUUCUUCAUUCUUCAUUUUUCUUCAUCCUUCACUUCCUUUCUUCAACCACUGCAGCCUCCGGUUCCUGUUCUUGGCUGACAGAAGUGGAACCUGACGUGGUCUUCUGCUGUUGCAGCCCAUCAGCCCCGAGGUUCGUCACUCCAGCCUUUCUGUCAGCUUGAACCCAUCUGCCCAAUCUCCUCUGUCCUCUCACAUCAACAAGGUGCUGUAGAUCCACACAGCCAGUCAGUAACAGCUGUGUCACGUGAUUACAUGGAGUGACACGCCCCCUAGAUGUAGCUCCAUUUGGGCUUACUCUUAUUAGCCUGGUUCAGUGACAUUUCCACAACGCAUCAUCAGUAAGCAUCUUACAGACUCAGUAGCAGGCGUAAUGAACGUGAACACAGUGGAUCAUUUACUCUCUUUACAUUACUUACUAUCAUUUACACCCUAAAGUGUGUUUGGAGGAGGAACUAAACGUUGAUAGACUGAUCUCACAUUAUCUAAUCAAAGUACAAAUUACACAAAAGGACAGAAGACGGAAGCGUAAGUUGAGUGGUUUUGUUGUUGUUGUUGUUGUCAUCAGUGAGAUCUCAGAAGAUAAUGUAUUGGUCAACCUUAAUAGUUGAACUGUUGAGCUAUUGAUAGAUAUUAGAUUAGAAGUGCACCUAUUGUGCUUUUUCAAAUAUCACCUUUCAUGUAGUAUGUCGGUGUUUGUGAAUGUAAAACAUCUGCAAAGUUUCAAAAAUCAAAAGCGCACAACAAACGGCGUUAUCGACUCCCAAAAGAAGGAAGCGAUUCUGAACAGCUGAAACGAGUCGUCGGUAAUUCCAGACUUUACUUCCUGUACUAACCUACAUAGGUCUGUAACAAACAACCCAUCUCUGGUCUUCAUCGGCUGCUCAAACAGCUUUGACGCGCCCUCAAACACUACAGUUGAGGUUGCGUCCUGAAAGAGUCAGCUUCCUGUCUAGAAGACGUUGUUAUCUGUGCUGCAAAAACAAAACCCCUUUGCACAGACUCCCAAAGUACGAGGAUGUAAAGCGUUCGUGUUCCCGUCAUUUCACUGACGACUGCUUCUCAAACCUAGCUGAAGUUGACGAGGGAUUUGCGAAAGGAUUAUUCAUUAAAGACGCGACCACACCCACUUUAUUUAGACCAUCUGGCGCCUCUGGAUCACAACCUGUAAGUAUGAUUAAUUAUUUAUGUAUAUAUUUUCUACCGAGUGUUCCAAAUGAGUACUUUUCUGUUGUAUACAUGUACAGCCAGUGCACAGCUGUUAGCCUGUUAGCUGUUAGCCUCUGCUAACCGGCUAAAUCACGUUAUUGCCAAACUAUGUAUAAACUUUCCACUGAGAAACGUCCUGUUCUCGUCGUGCUUGCGACGGUGGCUCGGGUUGAUCUUCCGGUGUAUCACUACCGGACUCGGGCUCAAAUCGAUAUUGUAGAACCGACAUUAUUACUGAGCUGAAAUUCAGAUAUGGUAGCGGGCGUUUCCUUUCUGACACACACUGUAAGCAGUAGACCAAUCACAACAGACUGGGACAUUUGACCAAUCAGAGCAGAGUACGCUCCCUUAAAAGAGUUGAUGCUGCAAUGUAAAUGAUGAGAAAAUUAAUUAGUAGGUGCAUUUACACCUACUGCAUGAGACUGCUAAAACAAAAUUAGGCACUUUUAAUAUAGCACAAUAGCGGCACUUUGAAUCCAUUUCCAUCUACUGUAACAUCCCCGGCAGCUGCCACGAGUGCACUUCCUUUUCAUACCUGUUUGUACCAGUUUAGAGCAAAUGAUCUGUUCAGUCUGAAUAACAGGUUUGUGUUCAGUUCCAAACUGAUACUUACUGUGUUGAUUAAUUAAAAAUGAUCUGAUGAAAUUGCAGUUAGUAUUAAUAGUAGACUCACCAGGUUGUGGGUCUGCUGGAAGGUUG